rnacentral:lncRNA from 1 species
UUGUUUCUCUCUCUCUGUCUAAUUACUCAUUUUCUCUUCUUCGCCUUUGGUGGUGGUAUGUUUGACAGUAUGCGUUGUUACGAAGCUAAAUUAUUAACGCAGUUAAACUUUGGAGCUGAGGGGGCCGCCUUUCCUCCCCAUCAAUCCUCUCGGCCAACCUUGUCCAUUUGAACUCAUUUAGUGCAGCCAAAGCUAAACGACUCGUGGGAGAAACGUCAUGGUACUGUGCUACAGACAACAAACACUGCAAUUUGAUUAUAACUUUCGAGGCCACUCUCUCGAGAUUGCAAGCUCCCCAAAAACCAUACAAGAGUUCGUGGUUUGAUGACUUUCUACUCAAUUUGGACUCCACAUCCUGCCUAAUUUCUUGUAUUAUAUACUUCAGGAUUGUCCGGUCGUCCUUGAAGAGCCCUUCUGUGAAAAAGACCCAAGACGAGAUACGGUAUUUCAAGUAAUUCUGUUUUGGUUUAAGGAUAGGAUCACAAACACCCUUGAUGAAGUCUUCAACUCUUUUUGUUUCACUCGCAGCCUCUUUAAAUUUGUCUGUUUGGUCUUGCCAAGAGAUGUUGUCCCUAAUAGUCGAUGUGGCCACUUUGAAGGGGUCCCCGUCUUUUUUCCUCUUUGAAUUAAAUGAGUAUUGUUGGAAUUGAUUCUUCAGCAUCACCAAUAGAUGAUGAAACACUCUUGCAUUUAACACAUCUUCCACUGUCACUAACCCCAAAUUAUUCUUCACUUUUUCAGGUAGAUAUAUGGUAAUUGCUCAUUUCUUUCGAUUGGGCCCCUAAGCCUAUAGUUAGCCAGUAUCCUCUUCGGGAUUCAAUCGGAACGCUAUUCAUUUCUCUCAUCGGCGACCACUGUAAACGAUCUGGAUACAUACGAUCGCCCUUUUCCACGGGAAUCCUACAAGAUAAUAAAAGUAGAUGCCACUAUAAUUUUAAGUCAAGCAUUCCCAAGCCUCCACGUUUCUUGGGAGCCAAACGAAAUCAAUUCCUUUCUUCCUCCAUGUAUGACACAAUGUAUCAUGAUAUGGUGUACAUCUCAGGAUGUGGUUUACUCUUGGAAUUACCACUUGAUUCCAACUUUUUAUUCUCUCAACAAGGGUUUUUUACAGUAUCGUUUUUUAUGGAGAUUGUAUUCCCCAGGAUUGUUGCUUCUUCCACUAGAUUAAGGAACAUAGAUUUUGAGGAGUCGUUGUCAUAUUCCCUCGACGCUUGGGAGUCAAUAUUGCAACCACUAAGAAUUACAGUUCCAUGAUCUGCAAAAAUAGGCGAGCAACAGCUAAAAAAAACACAUCCUACUCUCAGGAUCCCCUUGUCUCACACCGCGCUGUAGCCUUACUGUCGGACUCUUUUUAAUAUCAACGAUUGAUUCCGAUUGCUCAACUGUAUCGAAGGCUUUUUCAAAGUCCAGAAGAAUCAAAACAACAUUUUGCAUCAGUACAACCAACAAUGAUUUUUAAUGACAUCGUUACAUCUUCCAUUUGAUGACCAGGACGGAACCCGAAUUGAGUUCUAGUAAGCUUUUUGUUUAAAAUCGGUUUUAAUCUCUCAGUAAUACAGUCUGAAUAAAUUUUAUACUCAGUUUCAAGUAAUGUAA